AGGGCUCGAGUCGCGCAUCCGCCCAAGGUUCUGGCUCAGCCUUCCAUCCAUGAAGCGCUGCAACACACAAGGAGCCUGAACUUGAUGUGAUUUGGCUGGAGGGCUGAGUCACAGAAGCCCUGGUGAGAGGCAGAUGGACAGUAGGAGGCACCAGAGAUGAGAACACCUAGCAGCGUCUCACCCCGACACAAGGGGGUGCUAUGGAUGAUCCUGUCCAGUUUGGCCAAUGUACAUGGCAGAGGGGCAUUGCUGGCACAUGAUGGCAUAUAGAACAUUAGUAGAUGUGCAGGUGAAUGAGCCCCGGAUGGUGUGGCUGAUGUGGCUGGCUCACUACACCGUGACUGAUUAGCCUUCAGCAUUGG